AUCGUCUCCUUCACGCCUCUUCAUUGAUUGGUCCGAGCACUUGCUCGGCCAAAAUCGGUUAUCCUGUGCUGCAUACCUACCUCGAAGGCAUUUUGAUGGCUAAAUGUGUUGGUUUUCCUUCGUGUGCCGCGGCUCCUUGCGGGGAAGCGGUGCGCGUUGGACCUCAAGGCCGUCGUCGUGUAUCGCACCGUCCUCACCCCUACGGGUGUUUUCGGUUGGCGAUCCACGACGCAACGCUUGAUAUCUCGGGUGCGGAACAUCUAGUGGGAUCGAGGUCUUCGGCCCUCGCGACCCCAUCCAAAGCGUUCUACGCUUCGUGCGAACGACUGUCGGCCCGGUCUUCCGACGUGCUCUCGCAGCGCGGUGGGAGUCGUGCCGGCGUCGG
rnacentral:misc_RNA from 1 species